rnacentral:rRNA from 1 species
GCGUAGGUGAUGGACAACAGGUUGAUAUUCCUGUACUACCGAUAACCGUUUGAGAGAAGGGAUGACACAGUAGGAUAAGCUAAGCACACUGUUGGUUAUGUGUGCCCAAGCAUUGAGGCAGUCAAAGUAGGCAAAUCCGCUUUGAUAAUGCUGGGAUGUGAUGGGGAGCGAAAUUUAGUAGCGAAGUAGCUGAUUUCACACUGUCAAGAAAAGUCUCUAUCGAGGUUAAAGGUACCCGUACCGCAAACCGACACAGGUGGGUGAGGAGAGUAUCCUAAGGCCAGCGAGAGAACUGUUGUUAAGGAACUCGGCAAAAUGACCCCGUAACUUAGGGAUAAGGGGUGCCACCAUCAGGUGGCCGCAGAGAAUAGGCCCAAGCGACUGUUUACCAAAAACAUAGGUUUCUGCUAAGUCGCAAGACGAUGUAUAGGAGCUGACGCCUGCCCGGUGCUGGAAGGUUAAGGGGAUCUGUUAGAGCAA